ensembl:snoRNA
AGUGCUUGUGCCUGUUUUGAUCUAACUUGUGGGACUAAAACUUAUGGAGAAGUGUAAAAAAUAAACCGUCUUUUGCAACCCAGAACUCACUAUUCAGUAUGAGUUUUGAUACAUAUAAGAAGGAAUAUU